rnacentral:rRNA from 1 species
UACGGAGGGUGCAAACGUUGCUCGGAAUCAUUGGGCGUAAAGCGCACGUAGGCGGACCAUCAAGUCGGUUGUGAAAUCCCUCGGCUUAACCGAGGACGUGCAUUCGAAACUGAUGGCCUUGAGUACGAAAGAGGAUCGCGGAAUUCCCGGUGCAGAGGUGAAAUUCGUAGAUAUCGGGAGGAACACCAGUGGCGAAGGCGGCGUCUGGGUCGAUACUGACGCUGAGGUGCGAAAGCGUGGGGAGCAAACAGG